rnacentral:rRNA from 1 species
GACGGGGGAUGCGAGCGUUAUCCGGAAUGAUUGGGCGUAAAGGGUCCGCAGGUGGCCCGGUCAGUCCGCUGUCAAAACCUGGGGCUCAACCCUGGAGAGGCGGCGGAGACCACCGGGCUUGAGUCCGGUAGGGGCAGAGGGAAUUCCCGGUGGAGCGGUGAAAUGCGUAGAGAUCGGGAAGAACAUCGGUGGCGAAAGCGCUCUACUGGACGGUAUCUGACACUGAGGGACGAAAGCUAGGGGAGCGAAUGGG